rnacentral:tRNA from 1 species
AGGGCUACUAUAAAGACUUCUAAUCUUAAUAAAAUGAUAUUCAUUUAGCCCU